ACAGUUACAGUAGAGGAGAGAAACCUUGAUCAUGAAGGAGGUUUUCCCAGGGUGAGGCUCAUCCAUUGCACUCCGGGUAUGCUGACCCCUGCGAUUCCUCCAAUUGUGGGAAACUCAACUGCAUAAUUCGUGGUAGUAGGGGACUGUGCUUGCUCUUUCUACAG